UACGUAGGGGUCUAGCGUUGUCCGGAAUCAUUGGGCGUAAAGAGCGCGCAGGCGGUCGAUCAAGUCGAGUGUGAAAGCCCCCGGCUCAACUGGGGAGGGUCAUUCGAUACUGAUCGACUCGAAGGCAGGAGAGGGUAGUGGAAUUCCCGGUGUAGUGGUGAAAUGCGUAGAUAUCGGGAGGAACACCAGUGGCGAAGGCGACUACCUGGCCUGUUCUUGACGCUGAGGCGCGAAAGCUAGGGGAGCAAACGGG
rnacentral:rRNA from 1 species